AUACGGAGGGUGCAAGCGUUAUCCGGAAUCAUUGGGUUUAAAGGGUCCGUAGGCGGACUAAUAAGUCAGGGGUGAAAUCCCACAGCUUAACUGUGGAACUGCCUUUGAUACUGUUAGUCUUGAGUUAUAUGGAAGUAGAUAGAAUGUGUAGUGUAGCGGUGAAAUGCUUAGAGAUUACACAGAAUACCGAUUGCGAAGGCAGUCUACUACAUAUAUACUGACGCUAAUGGACGAAAGCGUGGGGAGCAAACAGGAUUAGAAACCCCAGUAGUCC
rnacentral:rRNA from 1 species